GUGCGUCAGUUGUGGAGAGACGUAGAGGAGUUGAGUUCGUGUGUGUAGGGAGGCAGACAGCUCCGACGCAGACUACGGACCUCUCCAGGUCUCAGCCGUCAAAGACCCUGUCCGGUAGGAAACACUAGCCGGGGAUCAUGAGUGGCUGUCGAGUGUUCAUUGGGAGACUAAAUCCCGCAGCGAGGGAGAAAGAUGUGGAAAGAUUCUUCAAGGGUUACGGACGGAUCAGAGAUAUUGAUUUGAAAAGAGGUUUUGGUUUUGUGGAAUUUGAGGACCCAAGGGAUGCAGAUGACGCUGUUUAUGAACUUGAUGGGAAGGAACUUUGCAGUGAAAGGGUUACUAUUGAACAUGCUCGGGCUCGGUCUCGAGGUGGAAGAGGUAGAGGACGAUACUCCGACCGUUUUAGCAGUCGCAGACCUCGAAAUGAUAGACGAAAUGCUCCACCUGUAAGAACAGAAAAUCGACUUAUAGUUGAGAAUUUAUCCUCAAGAGUCAGCUGGCAGCCUAUCUGUGUCGUUGGCCUUAUGACGAGGAGUGCCUGUGGGUUAUCCUAAUCGUUGUCUUGGUCACUCUUGGUUGGGCCUGGUUGACUUUGCCAGUCAGCUCCUACAGUGAUCAGUUGGCCACCUCUAGAUCUGUGUUUGCCGGUCUAGACGUAAUCGGUGCACUUACUUGAAGUGCCGGGUUGCAGCGAUCCCAGAACGUUGAUAACGUGAUCUGAUCCCUAAGUUGAGAGCUGUCUUCCUGUAACGCUUCCGAAUAAGAGGUCCUGGUCGAAAGAGUUGAAAGAUACGAAAUUAGUUGGUCGUUGGAAUCCUGAUCGCAGUAAAGUGGUCCUUGGUAACUGCACACGAGUAAAACAUGUCUGCAUCGCCAGUAGUCUGCUAAUAGGGAGGGCUGUGCGAUUAAAGGCUUCCAUCGAUUGGGUAGUAUCCUUCAAGUGGGUGGCGAAGAGCCAGUCGGGCCUAUGUCAUGAAGGUUUCUCCGACCGCUUAAUGGUUUGCUGCUUGACUAGCCUAGGGAAAUGUUAAUAAAGGUAAAGUAAAUUUUUUUAAUGACAUAUGGGGCACAAAAUAACUGGUGUCUUUGUAAAUGUUGUUUUACUUUUUUUUUUGUUUUUGUUUUUUUUAAAUAUAAGACUAGUCUUUAAAAGAUGUACUGUUCCUUUUUGUUUUUUUGUUGUUUGUUUUGUUUUUUUGUUUGUUUUUCCCCCUUUUUGUACUGAGCUCAGUUAGACUAAUACUAUAAUGUUAAAAACUGGAAUUUCCUCUAGCAUUUUGCUUAAAAGCAAUAUGCUAUUUGCUUAUUUCGUGCCCUGGCAUACUUUUUGAAUUCCGAUAGAAUACAAGUGUGGUAUAUGCCAUGUUUGUACUAUCUAACAACUUCUCUUCCAGUAGUCUUGUUUAUACCAUGUGGUUGUUUGUGUGUCACUUUUCCCUUUCUCUCCUUAACAUAAUUGUCUUGUGUUAAGGAUCUCAAAGAUUUCAUGAGACAAGCUGGGGAAGUAACCUUUGCGGAUGCACAUCGACCUAAACUAAAUGAAGGGGUAGUUGAGUUUGCCUCUUAUGGUGACUUAAAGAAUGCUAUUGAGAAACUUUCUGGAAAGGAAAUUAAUGGGAGAAAAAUCAAAUUAAUUGAAGGCAGCAAAAGACACAGGUCAAGAAGCAGGUCACGAUCUCGGACCAGGAGUUCCUCUAGGUCCCGUAGCCGAUCCCGUUCACGCAGGAGCAAGUCUUACAGCCGAUCAAGGAGCAGGAGCCGGAGCCGGAGCAAGUCCCGUUCUGGUAGUAGGUCUCCCGUGCCUGAGAAGAGCCAGAAACGUGGUUCUUCGAGUAGAUCUAAAUCUCCAGCAUCUGUGGAUCGCCAGAGGUCCCGAUCCCGGUCCAGGUCCAGAUCAGUUGACAGUGGCAAUUAAUUAAACUGUAAAUAACUUGCCCUGGGGGCCUUUUUUUAAACAAAACAAAACAAAUUCCCAAACCAUACUUGCUAAAAAUUCUGGUAAGUAUGUGCUUUUUCU
rnacentral:lncRNA from 1 species